rnacentral:rRNA from 1 species
UCUCCUACGGGAGGCUGCAGUGGGGAAUAUUGGACAAUGGGGGCAACCCUGAUCCAGCCAUGCCGCGUGAGUGAUGAAGGUCUUAGGAUUGUAAAGCUCUUUCGGCGGGGAAGAUGAUGACGGUACCCGCAGAAGAAGCCCCGGCUAACUUCGUGCCAGCAGCCGCGGUAAUACGAAGGGGGCUAGCGUUGUUCGGAAUUACUGGGCGUAAAGGGCGUGUAGGCGGCUUGCAAAGUCGGGCGUGAAAGCCCCGGGCUCAACCCGGGAAUUGCGUUCGAUACUGGCGAGCUAGAGUUCGGGAGAGGGUCGUGGAAUUCCCAGUGUAGAGGUGAAAUUCGUAGAUAUUGGGAAGAACACCAGUGGCGAAGGCGGCGACCUGGACCGAUACUGACGCUAAGGCGCGAAAGCGUGGGGAGCAAACAGGAUUAGAUACCCUAGUAGUCA